rnacentral:rRNA from 1 species
GUUUGAUCCUGGCUCAGGACGAACGCUGGCGGCGUGCUUAACACAUGCAAGUCGAACGGUAAGGCCCUUCGGGGUACACGAGUGGCGAACGGGUGAGUAACGCGUGAGUAACCUGCCCUUCACUCUGGGAUAACAGUUGGAAACGGCUGCUAAUACCGGAUAUUCAGCUCCUGCCGCAUGGUGGGGGUUGGAAAGUUUUGGUGGUGGAGGAUGGGCUCGCGUCCUAUCAGCUUGUUGGUGGGGUGAUGGCCUACCAAGGCGUCGACGGGUAGCCGGCCUGAGAGGGCGACCGGCCACAUUGGGACUGAGAUACGGCCCAAGCUCCUACGGGAGGCAGCAGUGGGGAAUAUUGCACAAUGGGCGGAAGCCUGAUGCAGCAACGCCGCGUGCGGGAUGACGGCCUUCGGGUUGCAAACCGCUUUCAGCAGGGACGAAGCGCAAGUGACGGUACCUGCAGAAGAAGCACCGGCUAACUACGUGCCAGCAGCCGCGGUGAUACGUAGGGUGCGAGCGUUGUCCGGAUUUAUUGGGCGUAAAGAGCUUGUAGGCGGUUGGUUGCGUCGAAAGUGCAAACUCAGGGCUUAACUCUGAGCCUGCUUUCGAUACGGGCUGACUGGAGGAAGGUAGGGGAGAAUGGAAUUCCCGGUGGAGCGGUGGAAUGCGCAGAUAUCGGGAGGAACACCAGUGGCGAAGCGGUUCUCUGGACCUUNNCUGACGCUGAGAAGCGAAAGCGUGGGGAGCAAACAGGCUUAGAUACCCUGGUAGUCCACGCUGUAAACGGUGGGUACUAGGUGUGGGGGACAUUCCACGUUCUCUGUGCCGUAGCUAACGCAUUAAGUACCCCGCCUGGGGAGUACGGCCGCAAGGCUAAAACUCAAAGGAAUUGACGGGGCCCCGCACAAGCGGCGGAGCAUGCGGAUUAAUUCGAUGCAACGCGAAGAACCUUACCUGGGUUUGACAUAUAUCGGAAACGUUCAGAGAUGGGCGCCCCGUAAGGUCGGUAUACAGGUGGUGCAUGGCUGUCGUCAGCUCGUGUCGUGAGAUGUUGGGUUAAGUCCCGCAACGAGCGCAACCCUCGUCCAAUGUUGCCAGCGGGUUAUGCCGGGGACUCAUUGGAGACCGCCGGGGUCAACUCGGAGGAAGGUGGGGAUGACGUCAAGUCAUCAUGCCCCUUAUGUCCAGGGCUUCACGCAUGCUACAAUGGCCGGUACAAAGAGUUGCGAGCCUGUGAGGGUGAGCGAAUCUCAAAAAGCCGGUCUCAGUUCGGAUUGGGGUCUGCAACUCGACCCCAUGAAGUCGGAGUCGCUAGUAAUCGCAGAUCAGCAACGCUGCGGUGAAUACGUUCCCGGGGCUUGUACACACCGCCCGUCAAGUCAUGAAAGUCGGUAACACCCGAAGCCGGUGGCCUAACCCGUUUGGGGGGGAGCUGUCGAAGGUGGGACUGGUAAUUAGGACUAAGUCGUAACAAGGUAGCCG